rnacentral:rRNA from 1 species
GACGAACGCUGGCGGCGUGCUUAACACAUGCAAGUCGAACGGAAAGGCCCUGCUUUUGUGGGGUGCUCGAGUGGCGAACGGGUGAGUAACACGUGAGUAACCUGCCCUUGACUUUGGGAUAACUUCAGGAAACUGGGGCUAAUACCGGAUAGGAGCUCCUGCUGCAUGGUGGGGGUUGGAAAGUUUCGGCGGUUGGGGAUGGACUCGCGGCUUAUCAGCUUGUUGGUGGGGUAGUGGCUUACCAAGGCUUUGACGGGUAGCCGGCCUGAGAGGGUGACCGGCCACAUUGGGACUGAGAUACGGCCCAGACUCAUACGGGAGGCAGCAGUGGGGAAUAUUGCACAAUGGGCGGAAGCCUGAUGCAGCAACGCCGCGUGCGGGAUGACGGCCUUCGGGUUGUAAACCGCUUUCGCCUGUGACGAAGCGUGAGCGACGGUAAUGGGUAAAGAAGCACCGGCUAACUACGUG